rnacentral:rRNA from 1 species
UACGAAGGGUGCAAGCGUUAUUCGGAAUGAUUGGGCGUAAAGGGUGCGCAGACGGUCAGUUAAGUCAACUGUUAAAUUUCCCGGCCUAACUGGGAGCACGCAGUAGAAACUGGUUGACUAGAGGAUGGAAGAGAGAAGUGGAAUUCUCGGAGUAGCGGUAAAAUGCGUAGAUUUCGAGAGGAACACCGAUGGCGAAGGCAGCUUCUUGGUCCAUUUCUGACGCUGAGGCACGAAAGCGUGGGGAGCAAACAGG